CGGCGGCGGCGGAGCAGCGGGAGCCAGGCCGGGCAGGCAGCCCGAGGGCGCCUCGGGUGGUGGCGUUGAGCCCGGUCCUUGCAGCGAGGCGAGCGGCAGCGCCUCCCUCCGGACUCCCGCCCUGGAAGCCGGCGCGACUCGGGCGCUGUCACAGCCUCGGGAGCAGACGUGCCACUUGGAGCGGUUGGCACGGGGCGCGCUUCCUUCUGGCGAGUUAGAUUCCUGAUCAAGGAGAAGGCCAGGACAGUUGGUACUCAGUGCGGGAAUGAUGUAGCCGUUCAGACCUUUGCUUGUACUUCCAGCUUCCUGUCCACUGGAGCUGGGUGUUUAUUUUUUUCUGGAGGAGGGUGGACUCAGCCUGGUUAAUGCAGCCAUGGCUGGGGAUCCAGGGUCAGACCAUAGCAAGACAGUAUCUGAAGGUAAGCAUUUCAUAUUUCCAAAAGCUAGGUUUGUGAGAGAUGAUAUGAGAUGUGUAUAGUUGAAGUUUUAG
rnacentral:lncRNA from 1 species